rnacentral:rRNA from 1 species
CCUACGGGGGGCAGCAGUGGGGAAUAUUGGACAAUGGGGGCAACCCUGAUCCAGCCAUGCCGCGGGUGUGAAGAAGGCCCUCGGGUGGUAAAGCACUUUCAGUGAGGAAGAACGCCUGGUGGUUAAUACCCAUCAGGAAAGACAUCACUCACAGAAGAAGCACCGGCUAACUCCGUGCCAGCAGCCGCGGUAAUACGGAGGGUGCGAGCGUUAAUCGGAAUUACUGGGCGUAAAGCGCGCGUAGGUGGCUUGAUAAGCCGGUUGUGAAAGCCCCGGGCUCAACCUGGGAACGGCAUCCGGAACUGUCAAGCUAGAGUGCAGGAGAGGAAGGUAGAAUUCCCGGUGUAGCGGUGAAAUGCGUAGAGAUCGGGAGGAAUACCAGUGGCGAAGGCGGCCUUCUGGACUGACACUGACACUGAGGUGCGAAAGCGUGGGUAGCAAACAGGAUUAGAUACCCGUGUAGUC